AACGAACGCUGGCGGCAUGCCUAACACAUGCAAGUCGAACGAGUGCCUUCGGGUGCUAGUGGCGCACGGGUGCGUAACGCGUGGGAAUCUGCCCUUUAGUUCGGAAUAACAGCUGGAAACGGCUGCUAAUACCGGAUGAUGACGAGAGUCCAAAGAUUUAUCGCCAGAGGAUGAGCCCGCGUUGGAUUAGGUAGUUGGUGGGGUAAAGGCCUACCAAGCCGACGAUCCAUAGCUGGUCUGAGAGGAUGAUCAGCCACACUGGGACUGAGACACGGCCCAGACUCCUACGGGAGGCAGCAGUGGGGAAUAUUGGACAAUGGGCGCAAGCCUGAUCCAGCAAUGCCGCGUGAGUGAUGAAGGCCCUAGGGUUGUAAAGCUCUUUUACCCGGGAAGAUAAUGACUGUACCGGAAGAAUAAGCCCCGGCUAACUCCGUGCCAGCCGCCGCCGUAACAC
rnacentral:rRNA from 1 species